rnacentral:rRNA from 1 species
UGAGGAAUAUUGGUCAAUGGGCGAGAGCCUGAACCAGCCAAGUAGCGUGCAGGAUGACGGCCCUAUGGGUUGUAAACUGCUUUUGUAUGGGGAUAAAGUCAGUCACGUGUGAUUGUUUGCAGGUACCAUACGAAUAAGGACCGGCUAAUUCCGUGCCAGCAGCCGCGGUAAUACGGAAGGUCCGGGCGUUAUCCGGAUUUAUUGGGUUUAAAGGGAGCGUAGGCUGGAGAUUAAGUGUGUUGUGAAAUGUAGACGCUCAACGUCUGACUUGCAGCGCAUACUGGUUUCCUUGAGUACGCACAACAUUGGCGGAAUUCGUCGUGUAGCGGUGAAAUGCUUAGAUAUGACGAAGAACUCCGAUUGCGAAGGCAGCUGACGGGAGCGUAACUGACGCUGAAGCUCGAAGGUGCGGGUAUCGAACAGGAUUAGAUACCCUGGUAGUCCGCACAGUAAACGAUGGAUGCCCGCUGUUGGUACGUGGUAUCAGCGGCUAAGCGAAAGCAUUAAGCAUCCCACCUGGGGAGUACGCCGGCAACGGUG